GGCGAAGGACAGGAAGUCACGUGACACUGAUGAAGCAAUAAAUAGAACCGCAACUUCAUCAACACCCUCUCUUCCUUGCUUUCGCUGAAGCACCACUGACGUCCUCUCCUCAAUGGUAGAGGACUUACUUUCUUUGAUCUUGGACCUUAUAACGCAAGGUUUGGUACACAGGUGACGGGCCGAAGAUGCAUCCUGCUCAUCAAAACGGAGUAGAUUUAAACCAAGUACCAAAUGUUUUAUUGUGUACAAAAUAUCCAUGUAACUAAACUUUAAUGUCCGUGCCUGUUGUAGUCAGCAGAUGGCAGCAUCAUUUAACGAAUGACAGGAGAGUAAAUCCUGUUGCCCAGCUUUUUUUUUUUUUUUUUACAUUUUCUAUCGCAGUCUUUAUAGGGGAAAAUACUUAGUUUUUCAAUUGUAUUAUUCCUUGGCGAGUUUUAAAUUGAGAAGUUGUCACUGAGAACAUACUUUUAAAUUGUAUUUCAUUGUUCAAAGAAGUGGUAAAGUAACGUGUACUACACAGUUAUUACUAUUCUGUGCAAAUAUAAUAAACAUCUGAUUGUGCUGAAA